rnacentral:rRNA from 1 species
AUUGAACGCUGGCGGCAGGCCUAACACAUGCAAGUCGAGCGGAUGAAGGGAGCUUGCUCCUGGAUUCAGCGGCGGACGGGUGAGUAAUGCCUAGGAAUCUGCCUGGUAGUGGGGGAUAACGUCCGGAAACGGGCGCUAAUACCGCAUACGUCCUGAGGGAGAAAGUGGGGGAUCUUCGGACCUCACGCUAUCAGAUGAGCCUAGGUCGGAUUAGCUAGUUGGGGGGGUAAAGGCCUACCAAGGCGACGAUCCGUAACUGGUCUGAGAGGAUGAUCAGUCACACUGGAACUGAGACACGGUCCAGACUCCUACGGGAGGCAGCAGUGGGGAAUAUUGGACAAUGGGCGAAAGCCUGAUCCAGCCAUGCCGCGUGUGUGAAGAAGGUCUUCGGAUUGUAAAGCACUUUAAGUUGGGAGGAAGGGCAGUAAGUUAAUACCUUGCUGUUUUGACGUUACCAACAGAAUAAGCACCGGCUAACUUCGU